CAGUCGCCGCGGUAAUACGUAGGGGGCAAGCGUUGUCCGGAAUCAUUGGGCGUAAAGCGCGUGUAGGCGGCUCGAAAAGUUCGCUGUGAAAGUCCAAGGCUCAACCUUGGAAUGCCGGUGAAAACUAUCGAGCUAGAGUCCGGAAGGGGAGUGUGGAAUUCCUGGUGUAGCGGUGAAAUGCGCAGAUAUCAGGAGGAACACCAAUGGCGAAGGCAGCACUCUGGGACGUGACUGACGCUGAGACGCGAAAGCGUGGGGAGCAAACAGGAUUAGAUACCCGAGUAGUCCCUGUCUCUUAUAC
rnacentral:rRNA from 1 species